UUAGAAAAUAGGUUUUUAUUUUUAUUUUUAACAAUCAAUAGUAAGGGAUAGAGAGGUGGGCUAAGCCUCAUGCAGUCAUACUGAGCUAACUAUAAUAAUAUGGUUCAACAUCGCCUUUAGCGAGAAUCAAACACCUAUCACUUAUAACUAAAGAAAAAUACUAUUAGAUUGUACUACUAAUACUAUGUGGCAAAUUAGAAAAUAGGUUCUUUUUUUUAUUUUGGAAGACAUUAGAAAAUAGGUUUUGAAUCGUAGCAAAAAUGGUAGAGAUCGCCAUAUCCAUAUGCGUGCAGCAUGCGCAUGGUUUUAUGUUCAACUGUGAGAACAGAGAAGCA
rnacentral:lncRNA from 1 species